AACGCACAUUGCGCCCCUUGGUAUUCCAUGGGGCAUGCCUGUUCGAGCGUCAUUUGUACCUUCAAGCUCUGCUUGGUGUUGGGUGUUUGUCCUUGCUCUAGUGGCGGGACUCGCCUUAAAGUAAUUGGCAGCCAGUGUUUUGGUUUUGAAGCGCAGCACAAGUCGCGAUUCAAGUCUAUACGCUAGUUUCCACAAGUCUUUUAUCACUUUUGACCUCGGAUCAGGUAGGGAUACCCGCUGAACUUAA
rnacentral:misc_RNA from 1 species